CCUAUAUUUUGGGGCGAUUUUGGUUUUAGUCCCCCUUUCAAACUAUAGUACAAUUUAGUCCUUCAACUUUAGAAAACUCUGGUUUAAAUUGUACUAUAGUUUGAAAGAGGGACUAAAACCAAAAUCGCCCCAAAGUAUAGGGAC
rnacentral:pre_miRNA from 2 species